AGAGUUUGAUCCUGGCUCAGGAUGAACGCUGGCGGCGUGCCUAACACAUGCAAGUCGAGCGAUUUACUUCGGUAAAGAGCGGCGGACGGGUGAGUAACGCGUGGGUAACCUGCCCUGUACACACGGAUAACAUACCGAAAGGUAUGCUAAUACGAGAUAAUAUGCUUUUAUCGCAUGGUAGAAGUAUCAAAGCUCCGGCGGUACAGGAUGGACCCGCGUCUGAUUAGCUAGUUGGUAAGGUAACGGCUUACCAAGGCGACGAUCAGUAGCCGACCUGAGAGGGUGAUCGGCCACAUUGGAACUGAGACACGGUCCAGACUCCUACGGGAGGCAGCAGUGGGGAAUAUUGGGCAAUGGGCGAAAGCCUGACCCAGCAACGCCGCGUGAGGGAAGAAGGGUUUCGGCUCGUAAACCUCUGUCCUAUGGGACGAAGGAAGUGACGGUACCAUAGGAGGAAGCCCCGGCUAACUACGUGCCAGCAGCCGCGGUAAUACGUAGGGGGCGAGCGUUGUCCGGAAUGAUUGGGCGUAAAGGGCGCGUAGGCGGCCUGCUAAGUCUGGAGUGAAAGUCCUGCUUUCAAGGUGGGAAUUGCUUUGGAUACUGGUGGGCUGGAGUGCAGGAGAGGAAAGCGGAAUUACCGGUGUAGCGGUGAAAUGCGUAGAGAUCGGUAGGAACACCAGUGGCGAAGGCGGCUUUCUGGACUGAAACUGACGCUGAGGCGCGAAAGCGUGGGGAGCAAACAGGAUUAGAUACCCUGGUAGUCCACGCGGUAAACGAUGAAUGCUAGGUG
rnacentral:rRNA from 1 species